rnacentral:rRNA from 1 species
CCUCUCGGGGUUACAGCCUUGCUGAAUUAUUCACCCUUGUCUUUUGCGUACUUCUUGUUUCCUUGGUGGGUUCGCCCACCACUAGGACAAACAUAAACCUUUUGUAAUUGCAAUCAGCGUCAGUAACAAAUUAAUAAUUACAACUUUCAACAACGGAUCUCUUGGUUCUGGCAUCGAUGAAGAACGCAGCGAAAUGCGAUAAGUAGUGUGAAUUGCAGAAUUCAGUGAAUCAUCGAAUCUUUGAACGCACAUUGCGCCCUUUGGUAUUCCAAAGGGCAUGCCUGUUCGAGCGUCAUUUGUACCCUCAAGCUUUGCUUGGUGUUGGGCGUCUUGUCUCUAGCUUUGCUGGAGACUCGCCUUAAAGUAAUUGGCAGCCGGCCUACUGGUUUCGGAGCGCAGCACAAGUCGCACUCUCUAUCAGCAAAGGUCUAGCAUCCAUUAAGCCUUUUUUUCAACUU